rnacentral:rRNA from 1 species
UACAGAGACUGCAAGCGUUAUUCGGAUUCACUGGGCGUAAAGGGUGCGUAGGCGGUCGGGUAAGUCUGAUGUGAAAUCUCACAGCUUAACUGUGAAACUGCAUUGGAUACUAUCCGGCUAGAGGAAUGGAGGGGAGACUGGAAUACUUGGUGUAGCAGUGAAAUGCGUAGAUAUCAAGUGGAACACCAGUGGCGAAGGCGAGUCUCUGGACAUUUCCUGACGCUGAGGCACGAAAGCCAGGGGAGCAAACGGG